GAUGCAGCGACGCCGCGUGGGGGAUGACGGUCUUCGGAUUGUAAACCCCUUUCAGUAGGGACGAAGCGCAGGUGACGGUACCUGCACAAGAAGCACCGGCUAACUACAUGCCACCAGCCGCGGUAAUACGUAGGGUGCGAGCGUUGUCCGGAAUUACUGGGCGUAAAGAGCUCGUAGGCGGUUUGUCACGUCGUCUGUGAAAUCCCUCGGCUUAACCGGGGGCGUGCAGGCGAUACGGGCAGACUUGAGUACUACAGGGGAGACUGGAAUUCCUGGUGUAGCGGUGAAAUGCGCAGAUAUCAGGAGGAACACCGGUGGCGAAGGCGGGUCUCUGGGUAGUAACUGACGCUGAGGAGCGAAAGCAUGGGUAGCGAACAGGAUUAGAUACCCUGGUAGUCCAUGCCGUAAACGGUGGGCGCUAGGUGUGGGGUCCUUCCACGGACUCCGUGCCGUAGCUAACGCAUUAAGCGCCCCGCCUGGGGAGUACGGCCGCAAGGCUAAAACUCAAAGGAAUUGACGGGG
rnacentral:rRNA from 1 species